GAUGUGUCCAUUAAUGGAUUAAAUCAGAACUUCCAGAGUUGAGGGUUAUUCUCAAGACACUUUUGCUAGCUGAUACCUGGCACUUGGAUGAUGUUUUGUGGUUUGCAAAGCACUUUCACAUCUGUUUUCUCACUUGGUUGUCACAAUAACCUUGGGAGCUGGGCAGGGCAUGUCUUGUUAUUAUCCCUGCUUCACAGAUGAGGAAGCCAAAGUUUUAGAAGGUUGAGUGGCCUGCUCAAGGUCACACAGAGGGGCGGGGGGGUAUGGAGAGUGAGCUGGAGCUCAGGCUUUCCUGUUCCGGGGGCCCAAGAUAACUUGAGGACCCCCCCCCCCGCCCUGAUUCUUGGAUUAAAUUAAUUCACAGUUCUUCUUUAUGACGGUGGACCUGCUCCAUUAGAAUGUGCACAGAAGCCAGGACAGCUGAGUUUCCCUGAGCCAGACCCCUGCUUUCACACAGGCACAGUGGCAUGGAUGAGCCCGGGACCCUUUUUCUGCGUGGCUUUACCAUCAGAAUUACCUGACAGGUGAUCGUGAGUUCAAAGACUGUACACCCACUGUAUUAGACAGCAGCCAGAUGUUCAUUUUAAUAAAUGGAAAAUAUGACUCCUAACCCAGGGAGGGCCACUCUGACCCUCCAAGCAGGCAAAUGAGCCAUUGAGGGCGAAGUCUUUGUCUUUGGAUGCAUCGUAGAGGAUGUGGAGCAGGCAGCCCAGGGUCAAAUUGUUUUGUUUAUUUCUCCCCACGUCUAUUUAUUUGGUCUUUCUUCGACGCCUCUGACCAGAUGCUCUAGGAUGUUCUACACCAAUUCUGCAGAGCUGGGGGCAGGAUACUACCCAAGGCUCAGAGAUUGAGUUAGGGAAGUACUCAAGGUGGAAACGUCAGUGUGAGGGGACAAGCCAGAGGAACCAGGGAUCAGAGCUCGAGAAAGCUUUGUAAAGACUUCUGUCUUGUCGCUGGUAGCCGCCUGCACUGGUGUGACACCUUGGAGUGUCCAGAGAACCUUCAUCUUUAUGCCUUAGGCCAGGUCUGUCUCACAACCAACCAAGGAUGCGAGCAGAGCAGUUAGUAAGAUCCCCGUUUUAUAGAGGAAGUAGAAACCGAGCGGCAGGAAGGUUGAGUAAUUUGCCCAAGGUUCCACCACUCGUCAGGGGCAGAGCUGGGCCCGAAACCGUGGUCUCGAAGCCUGGUUUGGUUAAGGGUUCUUUCUAGUCGGCCACACCGCCUUCUUCCCUUCCUCCUGCCCUCAGCUGCCCAGGGGCUCCUGGCCAUCUCUCUGCUUAGAGGUGAGGGAAGUGGUAGAAUUUUUCUAGCCCUGAGAUGUUUCUGGAAAGAAAAAAAAAAUAGUGGACCUGUAUCUGGGUCCUGAUCUGUGCUUUUUCGGGUUUGGGGUCACAGGACUGAGUCUAAGACACUCAGCUCUGGAGUGUGCUGUGCAGGCGUUUCCAAGUGUGGCUGUCUUCUUGCACGCUGCUAGUGGAAAGUAAUGAGUUCCAUUUUCCUGUUUCGAGCGAGCAUUUCCCCCUUGGGGUUAUAGUAACCACUUCCUCCUCAGCACCCAGUGGAACGUAGUAAACACCAGUUACAGCAGAGUAUUCCCUUCCGAGAGCCUCCCUGGCUUCCCUUCUCCCCUCUUGUCUUUAAAUACACACCCCAGGCCCUGAUGGAUAGGCCUCCUUUCCCUCUGGUGUAGGGUGUGCGGAGUGCCUGCGGUGGCCUCGGAAACACAAAACCCACACAGGUCACAGGCAGGUCUCCCGAGGUGCUUUGUCAUCCUGCUUCAUUUCGGAGGGAACUGGGUUGGCAUCGGUUUAGGGACAUGGCACCCUUAAUUUUCGGGGGUGAGGCAAGCACGCUGUCGUCACAGACUCGGUGGACUGGUCCUUAUGAGGGAUGGGCCCUGCACUGGGGCGGGGGGCUGGCUGGUUAGGGGAGUUCCUGUUGUGGCUCAGCGGGUUAAGAACCUGACACAGUGCGAGGAUGUGGGUUCGAUCCCUGGCCUCGCUCAGUGGGUUAAGGAUCUGGCAUUGCCACAAGCUUGGGCAUAAAUGGCAGGUGCGGCUCAGAUCCCAUGUUGCUGUGGCUGUGGUGUAGGCGGGCAGCUGCAGCUCCGAUUCAGCCCCUGGCCUGGGAACCUCAGGUAUGUCACAGGUGUGGCCCUAAAAGGAAAAAUAAAUAAAUAAAUAAAUAAUGAAGAGAGAGAGAGAGAGAGUGUGUGUGUGUGUGUGUGUGUGUGUGUGUGUGUGUAAGACUGGGUUAUUUGCUCUACAGCAGAAAUUGACAGAACAUUGUAAAUCAACUACAAUAAAAAUAAUUGUUUUUUAAAUGCGAGGGAUGUAAGGAAAGGGUCAGUCAAGGAUGAGUAAAAUGUUGAAAGAGAGACUGUUAAUUUUAGACAUCUUAAAAAAUACGUUCGGAGUUCCCGUCGUGGCUCAGCGGAAACGAAAUCUGACAAGUAUCCAUGAGGACACAGGUUCGAUCCCUGCCCUCUAUCAGUGGGUUAAAGAUUUGGCUUUGCUGAGAGCUAUGGUGGAGGUCGCAGAUGCUGCUCCCAUCUGGCGUUGCCGUGGCUGUGGCGUAGGCUGACAGCUGCAGCUGCGAUUUGACCCCUGUCCUGGGAACUUCCAUGUGCCGCAGGCCCUAAAAAAAAAAGUUCAUACUUAAAAUAUUUGUCAUUGGUGGUUUGGGCUUCCAAGAACUUCUGAAUCCACCCAGUUUUUCUUAGAGCCUUCAAGCCCAUGGAAAUCCAUCACUAGAAAACGCUUGUGAUGCAGAGCUGAUCACCCCUGAUGCUGGAGGGUGGCGGCCGAGAUGGAGCGGGAAGUGGAGGCGUUGAGGCAUGCAGGGACUCUGAAACCUCCGACUCAGGUCCUCCAGUUAUGCAGUGACUGAGCCAAAGAAGCAGAAAAAAAGUCAAGCCGCUCUUUGUGUGUUUGUGCUUAAUCGUUAGGCAUUCUUAACUAGAACAAUCCAGGAGUGGGCCUCCGAGCCUAUCAGGGAGAGCUAUCUGGGCAGAAUAAGCAGGAGCUUCCUGCAGCUCCGGCAGGUUUGCAGGAAAAUCCAGUUAUAGAAACUUAGAUGGCAGACAGGCUGGUCACAUUUCCCACUCUGUGCAGAUAGAUAAUAAAGCUGAAAGGCCAAGAGAUAGAAAUGUGUGAUAUCGCGCUGAGGUAGGUGAUAGGCAUUGUGUAUCAGUGCUAGCGAUGCUGUGCGCUGUACUCUGCAGGUUCUAGAAGACCUAUCAAAAAUGUCCCUACCUCUAGAGAAUUUAAGAGGAUCCCCUGAGAGGCAAGACUUGAGACUCAGGCUACAGGUUGGGAGUUGGCUGAACUGUUGUUUUUAGACCCACUGAGAUCUCUAGUUCCCUUCGUGGCUCAGUGGUUAACGAAUCUGACUAGGAACCAUGAGGUUUUGGGUUCGAUCCCUGGCCUUGCUCAGUGGGUUAGGGAUCUGGCGUUGCCCUGAGCUAUGGUGUAGGUUGCAGAUGCAGCUCGGAUCCCCGAGUUGCUGUGGCUGAGGUGUAGGCCGGUGGCUACAGCUCCAAUUGGACCCCUAGCCUGGGAACCUCCAUAUGCCUCAGGAGCGGCCCAAAAAAUGGCAAAAAGACCCCCCCAAAAAAAAAGGAAGAUCUAGGAGUUCCUCUUGUGGCUCCACGGAAACGAACUGACUAGUAUCCAUGGGGAUGCAGGUUCGAUCCCUGGCUUCAAUCAGUGGUUAAGGAUCCAGUGUUACUGUGGCUGUGGUAUAGGCUGGCAGCUAUAGCUCCAAUUCGACUCCUAGCCUGGAACCUUCAUAUGCUGUGGGUGCAGCCUGCCAAAAAAGGCAAUAAAAUAAAAUAAAAAUGGGAAUGAAAUGUCCUUGUCAUACACUUGGUACAGUUGAAAGCGUGUUCCCUACUUUUCAGAAGCAGGAUUCUGGUUAGGAAGGGCUGGUGUUCUGAGUGUGGUGGGUGUUUUUAAUCACUGGAUUGGGGUACAGGAUCCAAAUGCGGGCUCUGUUUCUGGAACCUUCUUCCUGUCUGCCCACAUUCACGAUGCCUUUCCUAGGAGCCGCAGUCUGGAGUGAGGGGAUUGUACCCCUAAUCAAACCUGGACUUGCUCCCAGGCCCCCUCUCCAGCACAGGCACGUGAGGGCAGCACCCCUCCCAGCCCAUAGAUGGGCUCUGGUCUCCGGCCCAGGACUCCUUCCCACUUCCUGGUUGUCAGAUCCCAGGGGCCUUCAGAAGCCCUUUCUUUGAACAGGAUCUGGCCUCCAGGUUGCAGUGGGCAUGUGAACCAGCUGUGCUCUCACACCCAGAGAUAGUCACGGUGCAAAGUGACCCCAAAGUCAUGUUGUUGGGAGCUUUUAAAAUCCAUCUUCCUCUCUUCCCUGGAGGGUUUUAGCAGCCUCAAAAAACGAAUCUCUCUUUUCUCACUGCUUUCUAUUUCCUGGGUCUGCUCUUCAAACAGGGCGAGCAAGACUAAUGACCACCCUCUUCCCUCGGAACCCUAGAAUCCUUCCACCUUAUUCCCAUCAAAUCCAGCAUUCUGGGAGUUCCUGUCGUAGCCCAGUGGUCACAAAUCCGACCAAGGUCCAUGAGGAUGUGGGGUUGAUCCCUGGGCCUGCUCAGUGGGUUAAGGAUCCUGCAUUGCUGUGAGCUGUGGUCGGCAGCUGUAGCGCUGAUUUGACCCCUAGCCUGGAAAGCCCCCUGUGCCUCGACUGCAGCCCUGAAAAGAAGAGAAAAAAAAAUUCAAGAUCCUUAGUAUGGCCCCUGGUUUCAUUCCACACCCCCCUUGGCUCACUCUAUCCGACACUUUGCUGCUCAUGCUGGCCUUUGAACCUGCCCAGCUAGCCUCCGUCCUUGGCUGCCCCCUGGGCCAGAACCUGAACGGUGUGUGGCUCAGCCUCUUGCAUCCUGCAGGAAGGCCUCCCCAAGCACCCAGAACAGACAGGGCACCCCUCCCCCGCCCUCCGACCCACACCCUUUCCUCCACCUUGUUUUAGCUUUUUUCAGUGUACUUGCUGUCAUCCCCCACACUGUGCAUUUAUUUGUAUGCUGUACUAUAUAUAUAUAUGCAUAUAUAUAGUACACGUAUACACACACACGCGCACACACGCACACACACAUAUAUAUCCCUUUUUCCACUUGAAAGGGAGGGACUUUUGCUGUCUCCACUGCUGCAUCCCCCUGUACCUUUUUCCACUUGAAAGGGGGGACCUCUGCUCUAGUCACUGCUGCGUCCUCCCUUGCCUUUUUCCACUUGAAAGGUGGGGACUUUUGCAGUGUUCAUUGCUGCUUCCCCCAUGCCUGGGACACUGCAUGUAAGCAGGUUCUCUAUAAAUACUUGUCCAACAGCCAGGGAAGAAAUGCAUCGACCAGCAGCAGCGUUUAUGGAGCUCUUGAUCGGGCGUCCUGUUUGGAGCAGAAGGGUACAAAGAUGACUCUCACAGCCCUGCUGGCUCAGUCCUGAUCUCUUCUGGGGGGGGGUCACCCACAAUUCUGUUCACCACUCCAGUCUGUGUGCUUUUUGAAUAUUGGGAUGGCUGCUCCCCCUAUGAUUCUAGCUCUUAACUUCCACUAAUGUUCAUGGUCCCACAGCGUCCUAUUGGGGGAACAGCGUUCAGUCUUGACCUUGAGGAGCCUACCCAGAGGGGAAGGAAGGCUGUUUCUCCCUUAGAGGAAGAGGGCAGGUUUGGAGGGGGCUGUGUUCUCAGAUCAAAUGCAGGGAGAAACAGUUUAUUCAUGUUGCCUGGUUUUGUUUUGUUUUGUUUUGUGAUCUGUACUUUUUUUUUUUUUGGUCAAAUAAAAUUAACCAUGUUAUGGACAUUUUGAAAAUAAAACAAGGAGUUCCCAUCCCAGCUCAGCAGUAAUGAAUCCAGCUACAGUCUAUGAGGAUGCGGGUUCAAUCCCUGGCCUCGCUCAGUGGGUUAAGGAUCCGGGGUUGUGGUGCGCUGUGGCACAGGUCACAGAUGCAGCUGGGAUGCCACAUUGCUGUGGCUGUGGUGUAGGCCAGCAGCUGCAGUUCCAAUUCAACCCCUAGUCUGGGAACUUCCAUAUGCCACAGGUGCAGCCUUAAAAAGC
rnacentral:lncRNA from 1 species